ensembl:processed_transcript
UCUUCCGCAUUAAAGCUCCGCCUAUGCUGGUUGAUUGACACCUCAUUUGCAUUUGAUUUAUCAUUUGCGAUGUCGGUUUGAGCAUUCGAUUUAUAGUUUGAGCAUUUGAUUUAUCAUUUGAUCUUUUAAGCAUUUGAAUUUUCAUUUUCAUUUUGUUUGGAAAAAACUUCCAUAG